UUUUGGAAUGUUUGACAUGAGCUGUUAUGUGUAUAUUUAGAAACUGGAAUAUAUUAAGAUUGUUUUUAUGAAACUUUUAUAAUAAACAAAAGUAUCGUUUUACAAUUUAUGACAGUUGGUUAUGAUAUAUAUUUAGUUGACAGUGUUAAUAUUUUACAUUGGCUUCAACCAACACAUAUUUUUUUCAAAAACACUUGGUAUAAUUUGGCUGCUUGAGACUUGUAAAUCAAAAGAGUGUACGAUUUAUGUUAAAAAUAUUUGACAAUGGUGUGGGGAGGAACCUGGGGUAAUGGUGGAUUUGGUAACACGGGUGGAAGCCAUAACAGUCACAGCCAUAGGCACCCAAAUGGUCAACACGUACAUCAUUGUAGCGCCCAUCACGUGGUUUUCGGGGGACAUGGAGUGUUCGGGACUCAUUAUGAAGAACAUUGCCCUGGAUGUCGUAGAGAUAGAUCGCUUCAUUCAUGGAACAGUAGCCAUAAAGGAAGUGCAGCUCUUGGUCUCUUGUCGCUGUUUUACGGUGGAAAAUUAGCCAGGAAAAGCUUGUGGGACUGAAAACGUGAAUAAGGUCAUUUAGAGAAGAGUUUUAUUAAGCUUUAUACAAAACUUGAGAACGAACCUUAUUCAUUCACGUACUGUUCAUAACAUUUGACAGAUUUACUUCUAUCAUUGAUUUGUCGUUGCCGUAACAACUCCGUACUUCGGAAUUCUACAAUCUUAUAAUCUUGUCUGUAUGUGUAAAUGAAACGAUUUGAUAUUGCAAAAUAUAAUAUACAUGUAUGACAUGUAUAAUGAAAAUAUGUCUCACCUAGACAUUAUUUAUAAAUGAAGAACUAAACUAGUAUUCAUUCAUAUUUUACAGAACAAAUUCUUUUAUUCACUGUAUGUAUGCCCCGUUUGUAGAACGUAAGAAACUAUUAUAAAAUGUGUCGUGUCUUCUUUUUUGUAGUUUGGAACGUUUUCAGCAAUACCAUUUAAUAACCUUUACAUUUCAAACGGAACUAAAAAGAUACGAAUGAGAUACAAAUUUAUUAUAUCAAAAAUCGAUUCUGAUUUUCAUGCUGAUACAAAACUCACCUUUUUAUUUCAUGCUAUACAUGUGACUGAUUUGUUUAUUGUAUGAUUACAAACUUCUUUGUAAACAUAUCAUGUUAUUAAAUGUUUGAUUCAAGUGUUGUUGGGCUUUUGUUGCCGUUAUUGUUUUGAUUUUACAAAAAAAUAAACCCUCAAACUAUAAAAA